UCCUAGGUGACUCGGCAAGGUUCUGUGCUUAAACGUCAACUCUGGGGAUGAUGAGCUCCAGCCCCAAGGCCUCUCAGGUCUGGAGGAUUCCCCACCCCAGGACCAAGGAAGGGGCUAUUUCUUCGAGGCUGACCUUGAUGUCGCUUUGCUGCCUGGACUCCUGGAGCUUUGAGCAAAUGCUUUGCCCCUAAAGUAGACAUCUUCCAGCUUGAUUUUGCCUCCCUGGAAAAAAAGAGAGCCUGCUGAAUGUGGUGGGUGAGUGAGAACAUGGACUUUGGAACCUGAGAAUUGGUUUAAGUGCUUGCUCUGGCAUUUACGAGUUAUGUAGCCUUGAGCAAGUGAUUGACCUGCAAAAUGAGGACAUUCUUCCUGAAGUCUUAGGAGACUGAAUUAAAGCGCAGUGAUGUAGGAAGUGUGCCUUGCACAGUGCUGGCAAUUGGUAGAACCUCAAUGAACGGUCGUAUGAUUAUUUUCUUCCUCUUGAGCAUUCCUGAACUAGCAAAACAGCCCCCCCCCCCCAGCACUCUGUCCAAUUCCUAAUCCUUAUCCAAAUAUUGAUACAAUUGUGGUCCCUGUACAUCCAGAAUCACAACUGAAAAAUGGGUGGCAUGAUCUCCAUAUGCAAAGUAAACUUGCACUGGGGGACUAGGCUGGGAGUAGGGGCGGAGCCACAUCAGAUCAGCUGGUUGAAUUCAAUCAACUUUUGAUUCCCUGCCCUCAUCUUUUGUAGAAGGAGUUGGAUGUCUUUCCCAUUUGACCUUAGAAUGUGUUAUUCUCCAUGUGCCCUUCCUUAGGCUCCUCAUUUACAGAUGGAUUCUGGGCUUGGAGAAGGUCCUGCCAUAGAAGGUGCUCAGUGGAUUCCUCCUGGAGGAAUGUCAUGCGGGUGUUACGGGUGAGGCUCAGGGGGCCAAACACCUGGGGACAGGUCCCAAGGUAAGUGAGGAAGCUGGGAUUAAGAAAUACACGUACACACACACACACACACAGUUUGGUGCAAACUAAGACUACCAUUGAUGCCUCAAUAUGGAAGCUGUUCCUGAUACUCUAGAGCCAUGUGUUUGAAAACGUUUGAGCAAUUUAAAAAUGCAUUUGUUAAAAUCAGUUUCCCUACAGGAUAUUACAGGAAAGAAGGGGAUUAAGAGAUUUUGGUAAUCCUUGGGAAACAUUGCAAGCUUCAUGAUUCUCAUCUAUUUCAGGCAAAACUGUGAAUAUUUAAAAAAAUUUUUUUUAACGUUUAUUCAUCUUUGAGAGACAGAGAGAGACAGAGCAUGAGCAGGGAAGGGGCAGAGAGAGGGAGACACAGAAUCCGAAGCAAGCUCCAGGCUCUGAGCUGUCAGCACAGAGCCCCAAGCAGGGCUCAAGCUCACAAACUGCAAGAUCAUGACCUGAGCCCAAGUUAGAUGCUCAACCGACUGAACCACCCAGGUGCCCCCCAAACUGUGAAUAUUUAAAUAUGUGAUGUAAAUGCAGAGCCUGGGAAUGGAGAGAGGGAGGAGCAGGGUUUUGGAAACCAAGCAGGGGUGCAGAAGGGCAACUUGGCUUCCCUAAAUUUGCCUAGAGGUUCAUAGCAGCAGCAGCAGCAGCAGCAACUACUCUGUUUUCCAUUCUUUUGUUCAUUUUAAAGACAUUUGUGGGGCGCCUGGGUGGCUCAGUCAGUUAAGCAUCUGUCUUCGGCUCAGGUUAUGAUCUCAUAGCUAGUGAGUGUGAGCCCCACAUCAGGCUCUGUGCUGACAGCUCAGAGCCUGGAGCCUCCUUCAGAAUCUGUGUCUCCCUCUCUCUCUCUCUGCCCCUCCCCUGCUCAUGCUCUGUCUGUCCGUCUGUCUCUCUCUCUCUCAAAAAUAUAUAAACAGAAAGAAAGAAAGAAAGAAAGAAAGAAAGAAAGAAAGAAAGAAGAAGGAAGGAAGAAAGAAAGAGAAAGAAAGAAAGAAAAAGAAAAGGGUCUCUCUUUCUUUGUUCCUUCCUUCCUUCCUUCCUUUCUUUCUUUUCAGGGGGAGCUCACCUGGCUCAGCCAGCCGGGAAGGCAGAAGUUUUGCAGUGUAACAGAGGUGCGAGGUGUGGUGCCACCCAGCACAGAUACAGCACAAUGUCACCUCUGGAGAAGAUGGCCUCAAUAAGCAGCUGGUCGCCGGUGACCCGCCGUCCUCCCACACUGCCCACUGAUGUCAGAGACGCUGAGGACGCAGUGGUGGUAGCCUGUUUUGACAUCACUGCCAAGAGCAUGCUCACAAGAGACCUGGAGAGAGAAAGUGAGCCCUACGCAGAGAAGAGAAUAUCCUUCCAGCCUUUUUUCUGCGGAACUGGGCUUUGAGCCAGACUUGCCUGACCCCAAACCCUUUCGCCCUCCGUGAGUUUUGCAGAUGAGCCUCAAGUCUUUUUGCAACACCAGUGGAUAUUUUUCCCCGAUAAACGUUGCUCCUUUCUCAGACAGCAAGAAGUUAGGACAGUUUCUGGGGCGCCCCCCACCCUCACCCUGACCCAAGUCACACGCACCGUGUCUUCUAUCUGCUUGCAAUCCAAGGCAGAAUUCCAGUAGCAAUUCCGGGCGGCAACACUUCAUCUCAACGCCGGUCCGUUAAGAAGGACGCUGUCCCCUCCCCCCACCCACCACGCACGGGACGGCCACCUGCACCUUUAACAGUGCUUGGCACACGGUGGGCCCUCAAGAAGUGGGAGUUCACGGAGCAGUAACCAUGAUUCAGCACCCACUGGGCCGCAGGCGCCGGGACCACUAAAAUGAACGAAACACAGGCCUGCCCAGUCCUUCGGAAUUCACCACGCAGUGAGUAAGAUGAGCGUAAAAAUGUCGUCGUGUAUCAUUCUUAAGUAGUGAUGAUGAUAGAAGCAGUAGCGUGCUGAGCACUAGCACGUCCCGGGCACUGAUGCAAGCAUUCUACACAUACUCGGUGUUAGGACUGAAGUUCGAACGAGAUACAGAUACGGGAGGCGUCCAGAGCAGAGGCCUUUCUGCAGCCUGGGGCCCAGGGGUAGAAGUUCCUUGUCCUCACUCUUCACCUCAGUCCUGAGGAGAAGCUCCUCCAGGGGAGAGAACAGCAUUUUCCGCAGGGUUCUAGAAUGGGUCAAGGAGGGCAUCUGAAUUCCCAGCAGCCCUCACCCCCACCUCCGCCCAGACCCGCUGCUCUCCCCGCUGGCCAGUCUCUGACCUUCCUCCUGUGGGGCUGGCCGGGUCAGACUUGUCUAGACCAGAACACCCAUUACCCAAUCUCUCCAACCCAUCUCUUCAACUGACGCCCUCGGGGCCUUGUGGGGAGAGCAAACCUUGGGAGGACUGGGGAGGCCGCAGAGAUAGUGGCAGAUAGAGGAUUGAGGGUAGGGAUGGAGGGGCUGCGGGGCUGGUGUCCAAGGCUGGGGGGGCUGGACAGGGGACGAGCCAGCCAGCUCCCUGGUGCCCCACUCAAGAGCAGUCCCUUUGGGGAAGGCAGGGCUGGUAGCUCAGAGGUGGGUGGGGACAGCAGAGAGAAGUGGGAGGUGCUGGUAUUUGCAGGGCUCAGCGUAGGAGAACAAAUGUGUUCCCAGACGGUGGCCCACCCACCUUUUCUUCCCAUUUCUGGUUCCAUCCUGUAUCUUGGGGGGCCACCAGUAUCACCAGUGCCUAUGUAGACAGCCCCACCCGCACACUGACACAUCGCCAAACAGCAAUGGGCGUCCUUGGGCCCAGGGAAAUGUUGUCAAGUUUGGGACAUACUUGCAUUAAAACAGUAUUCCUUGUGUGUCUGAAAUUCAAAUGUAACUAGGCUCCGUGUAUUUUAUCGGGCAGUCCUAAUCAGGGGUGUCCCCACCAGCCAUGAGGUCGGCCCUCAGGAGGCCCAGGGUGGAAAUCCUCACAAGCCCUGCAAGCUGGCUCAGGGCCCAUUGGGCAGUGACUUUCAGGGUCCUCAUGCUAGAGUGUGGCUGGGGAACACAGGCUCUGGGUGGGUACUUCUUGGCCCUGUAGUCUUUUUUGGCCAUUGAAGAGUCAUGUCCGGGCCUCCUAAAGCUCAGGAGCUACAACAGGGGCCCCUCUGCCUGCUUAUUGGCUGUAUGGGAUGAGCCUCAACCCACCUUCAAGUGAGAGCUCACUUCAAGCAAGGGGCGUGCCAGGACCUUUACUGGCCUCCUCGGUUGGUGCCUUUACGUCUAGAUCCUCUAGAUAUUCCAAGUCCCCGGGAGGCAGUGACUUCCAACGUUGGGAGACCUAUGUGAUAGAUCCGCUGAAAGCCUGGGUAAAACACAGGUCACCCAGUUAUAUUUGAAUUUCACACGAACAAUGUAAUAAUUUACUAUAAGUAUGUCCCGUUCAAUAUUUGGGACAGACUUAUACUAAAAAACGAUUUCUUGAUUAUCUGAAACUCAAAUUUAAUCCGGUGUUCGGGUUUUGAUUUCAUCUUUCUUUUUGGUAAAUCUGAGAGCUGGGACAUUGGAGUGCCACAGCUAGGAUCUGGCCCUAGCUUCUCUGCCUCUUGCCCGGUGAACCUCCCCAAGGGUCACUUUUCCUGUCCACCCCCCAGGGCUGAUGGAAAGAUAAAAUGAAUAAGUCCCUGGCAUAAGUGACAGUUGUUUUUGUUGUCCCUGGCCAAGGUCCCACCGCUAGAAGGCUGCGGGGCUGGUAGCUGCCCUCCAGCCCCCAGGCUCAGGUUCUCAGUCUUCUUGAGAACACUCCGCAGCCUGCUGCACGCUCCUCGGACCUGAGACCACCCUGCCUGCAAGGACCCAGGCAAGGGCGCCAAGAGAGGCUCGAGAAGGAAGCAUGCUCUGGUUGGGAGAUCUCAAAUUCCCUGAUGACUGGAGAGGAGUCGUUGGGGACAAAAGGGAAAGGGAGGAGCUGACAUUUAUUCUGGGCUCAGUGUAUGUCUGGCGUUUUGUAGUUUCUAAUUUAAUCCUCACAUUCCUGGUCAUUUCUCUUUUGCAACUAAAGAUGUAUUCAUAGGACCAGAGGAGACGGCCCCUGAUGCUACUCUGCUUGUACCCUGGUUCUUCCGGUGGAUGUCCCCUUCCCAGUGAGCCCUUCCCUGACCACCAUGCUUAAAAUGGAAACCCUCCCCCAUGGCUUGGAACUCUAUUCCCCUUCUCUCCUUCCUUCUUUUCCAAAGCACCCUCAUCAAAUACAGUAAAAUAUUGGUUUGCAAGCGUAAGUCGCUCCAGAAACAUGCUUGUAAUCCAAAGCACUUAUAUAUCAAAGGAAAUUUCAAGAAUCACUGUUGUGAUCGCAUACUACUCAUAUGGCAAGACAUCGCUUGUUUAUCAAGUUAAAAUUUAUUAGAAGUGUGUGUUUGUCUUGCAGAACACUCGCAGACCAAGUUACUCGAGAGCCAAGGUUUUACUGUGUAUUAAAUAGGUCUCCCUCCCCUUCCAGAAUGUAAGCUCCACGAGAGCAGAUUUUUCCGGUCUGUUCUGUUUACUGACAUGUUCCCUGUGCCUGAAACAGAGCCUUGUACAUAUUGGUUGAAUGAAUUCAAGGUAAUAAGAAUAACAGCUAACAUUUAUUUUGUGCCUACUUUGCCCCUGGAACUGUUCUAAGUACUUUGCGUAAGUUCAUUUACAAAAGUUCAUUUACAUAUCCUCAUCCUCAUAUCACCUCUAUGAGGCACAGAGCAGGCACAGAGAGGCUAAGUAACUUGCCCAAGGUCACGCAGCCAGCGGGCAAGAGUUAUGCUCUGGUUGGCCUGAGUUCCUGGUGGAGGAUCUUUUACACGCUCCACAGGUGUCCAUCACCCUGGCAUCUGCUCCUCUUGUGUGGCCCAUUGGUGGCACCCCUCCCACUCCUCUGUCACGCUGGAUUGUGAAUGUUUGUUUACUGCUGACGUGGCCCCUUCGAGGGCAGGGGCCAACCUCCUUCACGUUUGUUUCCUCAGUGUUCUGUACGGUGGCCAGCCCAUUGCAGGGCCUUCUCUCCAUUCUCCCAGCUGGGGUUGGUUUGUACUAUGAGCCUGGGGGGUGGGACGCACAGGUAUGAUCACUCCCCACCCCCAUUUUACCACUGAGGAAACAGGCUCAGAGCAAUACAGUGAUUUGUUGCAGCAGGAAGAACAGACAGUAACCAGACUGCAGGCCACCUGCGUCAGUGCUUUCCUGGCCACCGCCCCCUGGGGUGGGGAUCCGCACUCUACAGCCCCACGGAUUCUGGCUGCUGCCCAAGGCUUUGGUGGGCACCUGUCUAACCACAUGUCAGAACUGGGCA